GGGAAUAUGGCUUAGUGGUAGAGUACUUGCCUAGCAUACAUGAAGCCCUGGGUUCGAUUCCUCAGUACCA
rnacentral:tRNA from 1 species